AACAAAUCUUUUAUAUCAGAAAGCUAAAAAAAAUCCAUUAAUGGACAAAAGAAAAUACAAACAUGAUAAAAAGUAACUAAUAUGACACUCUGUAUAACUUUUUAAGUAUUGAUUGAAAUUUCAAUCAACAAUAAAAAAAAGUUUAAGAAUUAGGCCUAUGAUAAGAUGCCAUAAACAUUAAACUUUUGAGAGAUAAUAACACUGAUCCUCUAAAAAAGACUUUUAAAGACUACAGAACACUCCAUAGUGACGAAGGCUAGGCUAAACCGAAAUUCGAAAAGAUUUAUAAUGUUGUACACACAUAUGUACAUACAUGUUAUGCUCUAUCGCACAAAUGUUCCUUAAAAAAAAGGAGACGUUAAUGCUUAGGGUAGGGGCUGCCCUUUCUCUUGUCUCAGUUUGACGUGUUCAUUAUCUUUUACGACAUCAGCUACCAAGAACAUUUAUUUCUGAAGAUAAAAGAGGUUUGGUGGUCGGGCAAGUUGACUUCAACACUUUUCACUCAUGCGAAGAGUGGAAAGGAAGUUGAAAUACCCUUUCCACGUGGUGCAGCUUUCACUACAAACAAGGCCAAUGGUAGCGUCUCAGCUCUGAUAGUGCAAGCCGAUGUGGUCUUGCAGCUUUAGCUUAGUGUAUGUCUUUAAUGUGCAAAGACUGCUCGCACAAGUCACGUGCCUUAUGUCAUUCUACCAAAUUAGUAGAGAGAUUUUGAAGGCGCAUUAUUUCCCAAGCUCCAGCCAGCGACCAUCCUGAUCAUCCGACUCAUCCCCAUCAAGCGGCUCAGAUUUCACAUCUGGCCCGCCAUCUGGUUCUUGCGACGAUUGUGUCUGUGUCUGUGCCUGCGUUAGUGCUAGCGUGUGCAUUUGAUUCUGUUCUUCUCCCUCCUGUUCCGCUUCGCACUCUGUCCUACACCGUUUCAACCCAAUAGAAACCCCAAACAGCUUGGGAACCUCUGCCUCCGCCGCAUUCGCCGUCGUACAUGGCACGAAGCCGGCAGCGCCACCGACAUGCACGGCGUCAUCAGCCGACGAAAGAUGCUUUGCAGGCAAAAGCUCAAGAGCCUUCCCUUCCGGCACCGGCACUGUCCUCACAGCACUAGUGGACGAUUCUAACUGCUGACGGCUAAAACCAGAAGCGUAAUUGGUCAUCAAAGCGAUUAUGUUAUUACACAAACUCUUCAAUUGACUCAACUCUUGAUUCAGUUGCAUGUUCUCUUUUCUAAGCCGUUCAUUUUCUUCUGACAGCUCGGGCGCAGUAGUGCAACUCGUGGUGCGGUGCACUGUAUUAUUACUAUUUCCAGCAAUCGGAGAUGAGUUCGAGGAUAGUACCUGUUCGUCGCCGGAAGUCGUUGGAGACACUGCUCUGAUCGCCGGUGCCGCCACAGCCACCGUUACAGUAUUGGCUGUGACUACUGACGGUGCAGCAGUUGGAGGCACCAGUAGUAUUUUCCGGCGUUGUAUGUCGCGAAGCAGAGUUCUCUCACCUCGCCGGAAACAGUCGUUGGCGAAUUCCCAACGGUCAGGGACAACCUUCCGAAAUCCCUGCACACAACAACACACAAACUGAGAAACAUUCGAUAAUAGAGGGAAAUAAAACGAGCUCGCCUGCAGUGGUUACAUAGGUGUUUAGCUGACGGACAAAACUGGAAAAGUUGUUGUGUUUGAAGUACUUCGGAAGCAAAUCACGUGCGAAUUCCGCGGGCCGCCAAACGAUGAAACUCGUGCCAUCUUCGUUCCAGGAAAUUAGGUCAUCCGCAGAGGGAUCGUCCACGAGCUGGUACGUCUUCGUCAGAAACGGCGUCGGAAUGGAUCUCUGCAAGUCCGCCGGCGCUGAUUCACCUGUUUGCUCCACCGCUAAUGGGGUCAUCAUCAGCUCCGCUACCAGAUCUGGAACUGAAACCUUGCUAAGCUGCCUAAUUAAUCACUUCUCUGCGCUCAUAACCGUCUCCUAAAAUAAACUAAAUGUAUGAAUUUAGUACUUAACUACUGCAAAGUUAUUUGGAUAAGGUAAACUACAUCUACGAGAAAGUCUAGAAUCGGAACCUAUCUAACCUUUACCCAACCCGGUUCCUCUUGAUAUCAUCCAGAAAGCAUAUAUAUGGUGAAACAAAAUAAUACUAACAAACCAAUAAUCAUUAUCAGCGAUGUAUUAGGUUACCUUGAUCUGUCUGAUAGAAAUAUUGAAUACCAGUUCUGCCACCCGCCCAACGGAGAACCAGAAACACGGUCGGAAGCGGAAGAAUCAAAGGUUGAGAGAGAAAGGGAGAGAGAGAGAGGGAUGGUAGGUUCUUGUUGUUUCUAGAAGUUUCGGAUGCGAGAGUUAAUUGAUGGUUCGAGAAUGAAAGCGAAAUUGUGAAAAAGGAAAAAAAUAAAAGAGAGGUGGGGCCCACAAGAAAUAGGAGUGAUAGAAGAAGACGCUAGAAGAGGAUGCCAAUGGUUACGUGGCGGAGCUCUGAUCCAGCCGCUGAUGCAUCCGAAUAUGGCUUUCAACCGUUGCUUUGUCCACUUUCCAGAACCUUCCUCUUCCUUCAUUCCUUUCUCACUUUUCUUUUUUUAUUUCUUCUACUGUUUAUUCAUUUUCUCCAACGUUAUCAUGCCUUAUCUGAUUAACACGUGUUCCAAUGUUUAUUAUGACGACAGGGCCCACGUCACUCUCCUUCCCAGCUGCUUUUUUUUUUUUCGCUUCAAAUCAUAGUGCACUGCAACGCUGCAGAUGAUUUUAACUGUUGCAAAAAUCUUAAUCAAACUCACUCAAAAUGAAAUACUUUAGGGAAUACUGUAUUAAUUAUUGGAUCCUCAAUUAUUAAAUAUACUUUGUGGUUCAAAAUAAAUUAUAACCAAUCCAUCCUCUUUUCUUCGUCAAGCCAUACAUUUAUGAAAUAAUUAAUGCAGACUUUCAUGAAAAUUAAACUUAAAGAUGACUGAAAAUUAAAUAAGUUGUUUGACUAAAAUUUAAUAGCAUCAAAUUAGUUUUUUCUUUAAAUAUAUAUAUAUAUAUAUAUAUUAUUUUUAUUUUUAUUUUUUUGAUGAAAAAAAACAUUUGACGAGUGUUUAUCUUGUGUUAUUUGAAAAUUAUGUAGGUAUGUAACUUAAUUACAUAUCUAUUGUAAUAUUUACAAUGAAUCGCCUACACAUAUAGCAGGAUUUAAAGUAUUUUCUAUUUUAAAGACAAUGUACAAGGAGAUAAUCAUAAUUCAAAAAUAUUUCCAAUAAAAAAUAAAUAACUCACGAAAAUGUUUUGAAUAUAGUGGCUCAAUACUUCUUGAUGAUGUUUUUUUUUUUCAAAUUUAUUUCAGUAUUUUAUACAUUAUGAAUUUUGUUAUAUUUUUUUGAAAGCAAGUUAAUUUGAUAAUAGUUUUGCUAUAUUAAUAUAUGACGUCAAUAGCGAAUCAUAUUUUAUCAUUUAAAACUAAUUUGCUGAUUAAAAUGAUAUAUAAACAAACAAUAGAUUAUAUUGUCUCUUCUCUAAAAAAAUAUUAUUAAACUAAAAACAUUCAAACUGAGAAAAAGUUAUUAAACGAAAAAUAGUUACCUAAUUAUUUGUAUGCUAAUUCUAAAUAGUUACCUUUUUAUAAUUAAUUGUCUUACCGUAUCUUGUACUAGUUUGGAUUUUUUUGUAAUAAACAUUUAUAUGUGAAGAAAAGUGGUCAAAUAGAUAAUCUUGCCAAUAAGAUUAAAUCAAUUUAUCUACCCCAUUUUUAUAAAUGUCUUAUUUACAUUUUUCAAAGCUAAGGUAUGUAAUAUUAAAUUAUAACAAAUAUUUUCAUAAAGUUAGAUAUAAUAUUGUGAGUGCUCUUACAUAUCAGUAUUUUUUUGUUAUAGUGGGUCUUGGGUCUUUUACAUAGGUUCUUCCCCUAUAUAACUAUAAGGUUCAGCCCCUAUGUACAGUCACUAUGAUUGAAUAAUACUCCUUUUAUUGUUUCACCUUUACUCUUCUUCUUACUCUUACAUGGUAUCAAGAUCGGGUUCAUUUUUUUCUUGAACUCUGAUCAUGUCUUCUUCAUCUUCUCCUACCUCCGAUAAAGAAACCCCUUCAUCCUCUUCCUCUCCCUCUUCUCAACUUCAUACCUUUCCUACGUCUCUCACCCUGAAACUCACCGAUGACAACUUCCUGAUUUGGAGUCAACAGAUUCUUGCGCAGGUCGAAGGUCUCAAUUUACUCAAAUUUUUGGAAUCAUCUUCCACUCCUCCGCCGUUUCUCUCUUCUGGUAAAGAAAACCCUAAUCCUCUCUUUCUUCUACGUAAACAACAAGAUAAUCUUCUGGUUGCUUGGCUGUUGGCUUCGAUGUCGAAUUCUUUGUUAACCAAAAUGGUUGGUUUACGAUCGGCUUAUCAAAUUUGGGACAAGCUGAAUGUCUAUUUUGGCGUCCAAUACCCGUGCGAGAGUUCGCAAGCUCAAAACCCAGUUGAAAACCCCUAAGCGGGAUCGAUCUAUCAGUGUUUAUCUUCUUGACAUCAAGCGGGUUGUCGAUUCUCUUGCGGCUGUUGACUCCAAUGUUUCCACAGAAGAUCAUCUUGAAGCCAUCCUGGAUGGUCUUCCUGAGGAGUAUGAUUCGUUCAUCACCUCUGUCACGUCCCGUCUUGAUCCCUACACUGUAGACGACAUUGAAGCAUUGCUCCUGGCUCAAGAAGAGAGGUUUGACAAACAUAGUCUCUUGAUCGUCCUUUUCAUUCAAGCUAAUACUGCUUCUACUCAAUGGAACCCUUCGGCCCCUUCACGAUCUUCGUUUCGUGGAACCAAUUUGUGUGGCGGCCGUGGCUCUGCCUGUCAUUCCUUCAAUAAACGACAACCACGGUUUCGUAAUUCACAAAAGAAUUCAUGGAGUGGAGUUUUUGAUUCUUCUUCUUCUCAACCUCUUCGGGUUCAAAGUCAACUUUGUUUCAAAUUUGGCCAUAUUGCUCUUCAUUGUUGGCACAGGUCUGCUCCUAUUUUACCAUCCAGUGUUUCGGCUAAUACUGCCCUUUUUCAGCCUUCCUCUGUAGGUGACCCUGAACCUUCAAUUUUGGGAACCCCUUCCAUCGUUACUGACCCUUUGUGGUACCCUGAUAGCGGCGCCACUCAUCAUAUCACGCAUGAUUCCUCUAUCUUCUCCAAGAAAAUGAACUAUUCUGGUAAUGAUACUGUGCAAUUGGGAAAUGGGUCAGGUAUGAAUAUUCAGCAUCUUGGUUUUGCUUCCCUAUGUUCUUCUGGUUCUAAUGCUUCCUUCCGUUUACAUAAUCUUUUGCAUGUUCCUUCCAUUCAUAAAAAUCUUAUUAGUGUCUCUAAGUUUGCACGUGAUAAUAAUGUGUUCUUUGAAUUUUAUCCUAAUCAGUGCUUUGUCAAAAAUCAGGAUACCAAAGAGAUUCUUCUCCAAGGAAACAUACGUGAUGGCUUGUAUGUUUUUCCCUCAUUACACAGCUCUUUGCUACCCUCUGUGAAUACUAGUUCUCACAUCUCUGUUAUAUCUCCGUAUGAAUUGUGGCAUAAAAGACUUGGUCAUGCUUCAUCUAGAACUGUUCAAUGUGUAAUGCGAAUGAGCAAUAUAUCGUGCAAUAAAAAUUAUUUGUUUUGUGAUUCAUGUGUUGUUGCCAAAAGUCAUCAAUUUCCUUUUUCACUUUCACACACUGUCUAUACUGCUCCUCUUCAGUUAGUUUUUGUUGAUAUCUGGGGUCCCUCACAUGUUACUGCGCGUGAUGGAUCUAUGUAUUACAUUGCUUUUAUUGAUGCGUUUUCUAGGUAUAUUUGGUUGUAUCUUAUAACUUCAAAAUCUCAAGCUACUGCUGUCUUUUUGCGUUUCAAAUUACUUGCUGAAAAACAAAUUGGUUUUCUCAUCAAAUGUCUUCAAAAUGAUAAUGCUAAGGAAUUUAUUUUCUUAACAAAAAUCUUGCAUGAUCAUGGUAUUACUCAUCGAUUUACUUGUCCGCACACUCACGAACAAAAUGGAUCUGUCGAACGCAAACAUCGUCAUGUUGCUGAAACGGGUUUGGCUCUUCUUUCUGCUGCUUAUCUUCCUCUUAAAUUUUGGGGUGAGGCCUUUAUCUCUGUUGUUCAUAUUAUUAAUAUUUUACCAACGCCUGUUUUAGAUAAUGUUAGUCCUCAUGAAAAGUUGUUUUCAUCUAAACCUAAUUAUACCUUUCUUCGUAUCUUUGGGUGUGCUUGUUAUCCUCUUUUGAGACCUUAUAAUCAACAUAAGUUUGAUUUUAAGUCAUCUUUGUGUUUAUUUCUUGUUUAUAACAAUACACACUAAGGGUAUGUUUGCCUAACUCCUUCUGGAAAGACUAUCAUCUUAAGACAUGUGAUUUUCAAUGAAUAUUUGUUUCCUUUUUCCAAACAUGAUAAUCCUUUUGUUAUUCAUAAUGAGAGUAAUACUAUUGAUUCUUCCUCUUCUUCUUUACCUAUAACUAUGGUUUCUGUUCCUAAUUGUUCCUCUCCUACACCUACACCCACUCAGUCAUCACCUAUAUAUAUUGCUCAUAAUCAUUAUCAGACUACUUCUCCUAUUCUUGUUCCCAAUCUUCAUCCCAUGGUAACUCGCGCUAAGGUAGGUAUAUCUAAACCCAAAAUUCUCCAUAUUGUUGUGACUAAUGAUUCUUUUCAGUCGUCCACCUACAAACAAGCUAUGAAUCAUCCUCAAUGGCUUCAUGCAAUGCAAUCUGAAUAUCAUGCUCUUGUUCUAAAUAACACUGGGACUCUUACUUCCUUGCUUGAUGGUGCAAAUUUAGUUGGUUUUAAAUGGAUUUUCAAACUGAAAUAUAACUAUGAUGGGUCUCUUCAACGCUACAAAGCUCGGCUUGUAGCCAAAGGCUUUCAACAAUACGAAGGAUAUGAUUUUACUGAUACUUUUAGCCUUGUCAUCAAGCCAACCACCAUUCGAAUUGUCUUGACUAUUGCCUUAAACUCACGGUGGCCAAUUCAUCAAAUCGAUAUCAACAAUGUCUUUCUCCAUGGUGACUUGUCAUCUCCUGUCUACAUGCAACAACCACCUGGAUUCUCCACUGACUCUACUCUUGUUUGUUGACUGAAUAUAGCCAUAUACAGUCUCAAACAGGCACCUCACGCCUAGUUUGAAAAGCUCUCCAUAACUCUUCUUCGUCUAUGUUUCGUUGCUGCUAAGAGUGACACUUCUCUCUUCACACGGUUUACUCAAUCUCACACUAUCUUUAUCCUAAUUUAUGUUAAUGAUAUCUUAGUUACUGGUAGUUCUUUGGUCUUAGUGCAGGAAUUCAUCAAACAGUUAGGCUUAUCCUUUGCCUUGAAGGAUCUUGGACCGCUGCAUUACUUCUUAGGAAUCGAAGUUUCUUAGCUUAAAGACAAUUCCAUUCAUCUAUCUCAAGCAAAGUAUAUUAAAGAUCUCUUAUGUCGAACUAACAUGGUCAACUCAAAGCCCCAACCCUCUCCAAUGCUUUCUUCUUUACGGCUUAUCGCUAAUGAAUCUGUCUCCGUUGAUGAUCCAACGUUAUAUCGGUCUAUUGUUGGUGCCUUGCAAUAUGCUACUAUCACCAGACCCGAAAUCUCCUUCUCGGUUAACCGUGUUUGCCAGUACAUGCAUCAGCCCCAGAUUCAUCAUUGGAAAGCUGUGAAAUGCAUUCUGCGAUACUUGGCUGGCACAUCAACUCACGGUCUUCUCUUAACUCCUUCCCCAAACUAUUCUAUCACGGGUUUCAGUGAUUCAGAUUGGGCCACGAACUUGGAUGAUCGCAAGUCUACCACUGAAUAUUGCAUAUUUGUGGGUCACAAUCUUGUGUCUUGGUCAUCAAAGAAACAAAAAGUUGUCUCCAAAAGCAGUACUGAGGCUGAGUACAAAAGCAUUGUCGCUGUCCUUGCUGAUAUUACCUGGAUCCAGUCUCUGAUGACGGAACUACGCAUCCCCUCUUCCACUCCAAUAAUUCAUUAUGAUAAUCUCGGUGUUGUUCAUAUUGCUGCCAAUCCUGUUCUACAUUCCCGUUCGAAACAUUUCGAGCUUGGCUUACAUUUCGUCCGUGACCGUGUUCAGCGUAAGCAGCUGUUGGUUGUUCAUCUCCCGUCUCAAUUUCAACUUGCCGAUGUCCUCACUAAACCUUUGUCAGAAACUAUGUUUCAGAAAUUCAAAGAUAAACUUAGGGUGGUUGAUAACUCACUCAUAAGUUUAUGGGGGGUGUUAGAUAUAAUACUGUAAGUGUUGUUACAUAGUAGUUAUUUUCUGUUGUAGUGAAUCUUUUACAUAGGUUCUUCCCCUAUAUAACUAUAAGGUUGAGCCCCUAUGUACAUUGACUUUAAUUGAAUAAUACUCUCUUUUUACUGUUUCACUUUUACUCUUCUUACUCUUACACAUAAGGAUAUUUUAGUAUGUUUGCUUACAUGAACUCUUUUUCUAAAGUAAAAAUUCUAAUAUUAGGAGGAACACGUGUCAGCCUAUACUAUAUGAUUAAGAUAGCUUUUAUUUUAAUAGGAAACUAUUUUUCUCACAAUAAUAUACUUACUAUUACUUGCAAUUAUUUGUCACUAUCUAUCCAUAAAACAGAACACAUUGCUCUGAACAAAUAGAGAAAUGAAUAGGAAUCGAUGUGAAAUAAAACUUGAUUUAAAAAAAAUUUAAGAGAAAAAAAACGACAACACAAAUUGAAAUUAAAAGUAAUUAAUAUUUUUCAUUGCUGCGAAAAUUAAAAUAGAUUGAUUUAUAAUUGAAUAUUUAUAUAAGAGUUGAAAAUAUACACUUGGCUCAAAAUUUAAAGAAGUGUGUUUUUAAAUGAAACAAUUAUAUUAACGAAAGGAAUUCGACCAAUUUUCACCAAACUGUAUGGAAGGUACUUAAGAAAAUUGUGGGGUGUAGAAAGAUGAAACCCUAAUAUUUGUAAGUUUGGGCCUCAUUCUCACACCUUAAAGGAUUAUUUGUCUACUAUACUUACAUCUAUUUCUCACUAUCAUAUUUUUUUUUUUGUGUAGGAUGUGAGGGAAUAUCCAUGAUUUGGAUCAAGAAAUAUGAAGGAAACAGGAAGAGUGGAUUAAGAUGAACAAUAAUUUCUCUAUCCCUCUUCAGAUGCAAAGAUGGAAGGGGACAUGAUGAUUUUUUUUCCGUUUUGUGCUUAUUUUUAGUUUUGUCAUUCUCGUAAUAAUAUAUUUAAUAAUACCUUUUAGUUUUAUUAUUUUUUCAUCAUAUAUGGUUAGAUAAUAUUAAUUUUAUGAUUCUUUUAAUGUUUUGACAAUAUUAAAUAAUUCAUAUAUUUCAUUUUUUUUAAAAUAAUUAUUUAACGGUACCAAAAUAAAUUAUUUAACGAUACCGAAAAUAAUUUAUAAUAUUUUAAUUAACUCAAAUCUACACAAAAAAAUAACUCAUGUUUUGUCAUUUAAAUAUUUUUAAAUACAAAGGUAAAUUUGUAAAUUUAUAUUUUACACAUUCUAAAAAAAUUAAAAACAUCUUUAACAACCAUCACAAAAUUUAGUAAACCUUCCUAACACAUUCACUCUAAUACAUCUCAAUUCAAGCACACUUACUUUCCUCUCACAUCCUCGCACUUCCAGUUCCAUUUCUCAAUCCAAAUUAAGUUUUUGGGUAUUAGAUUGUGCUAUGCUCAAAGGAGAUAUCAAAAUAUUUCAAAUGAUAUGAAAAAAAAAGUUGUAAAAGUAUGGAAAUAUCUUGAAUGUAACACGCAUGUUUCUUUCUUCAAGAAUGCUUAUAAAAAUCUAUUAUGUGUUUUCUACACAAUCGUUUCCAUGCAAACAUAAAAUCAAAAUAUUAUAACUGCCGUGUAUUGUAAAUUGGAAGAGAGAGGUGCCCAUUUUACAAGACACGGUGGAAUCAAUUUCUUUUAUGUAUAGUAAAGUAAUGGCUUAUUUUCUUAAUUUAUUAUACAGAUGGGAAAGUAGUCUUAUUAAAAAAAAUAAAGAAAAAAUAAAUCGGUGUGAAGAUGAAAUAGGUAGUGUAAAUAAGAUGGACCUAGAUCGUUUACGCUACAUAGAGCCAAUGUUUCUUAUUAUGGGCCUGACAUUCAUUAACCCAAGCAUCUCUGGCCUGCUUUUAGUGGACUGUUUCUUCCUACAACUCCAUUCCUUCUUGUGAUAAUAUAUUUUUAUCCUUUUUGUGUCACCCUCAUACAUAAUCUUGAAGAUGUUUUUGUAUUCAGAAGUGUCUUUUUAGAUUUAUAAAAUUCAUAAAUGUCUUUUUUGGAUUUGAGAUAAGCCUAUGAAUUAUGUAAUUCGCAUUUAUUCCAGAUUAUAUAAUUUGAAAGUUAAUCUCAUAUAUCGAAAAGACUUUCGGAUUAUAUAAUCUUGAAGCUAAUCACCCAUUUAAAAAAAAAAAUUUCAGAUUACAUAAUUCAAAAAAAACUUUCAAAUUAUGUAAUGAGACUGAGACUGGAAAAAAAAAUUAUAGAUUACAUGAUCUAAAAGCUAAUUAAAAAUUUAGAAAAAACUCUCGAUUUAUGUAGUAAAAAAUAUUAAAAUAAUAAUAAUUUUGGAAUAUAAAAAUUUAUGGGAAUAAAAAAAAAAAUUUAUGGAGGUGCAGUGGAGGCCUUAGUUUGUGUAGGGGAUAGGAGUAAUUGGACUUUUCAAGUUUAUCAUCUACACGCAAGUAAAUAAGCCAUGAAAUUUCAAGAUUUACCAACUCUAGAAGAUCAAGAUGAAAUAAACGUUGAAUAUUUAAGAAAAGAUUUUCAACACUUUUGCCCAUUUUUUAAUUGACUUUUUUUAUUUUAUUCCUACUUGUCUUCAUUUUUUUUUUCAACCUGCAGCUCUACAACAAAAAUUAAAUAAAACUGGAACGUGAUUUGACUUUGACAUUUUUUUAACCCCUUCCAUUUGGAUUAGUUUCUUAAGAAUGAAAAUGAAAUGUUAAUAUCAUAUCGACAAGGAGCAACAUGCCAACACCAGACUUCGUAUAUCAUCAAACGAAGACUUUAUUUGACACCAAAUUUGUUGCUUUCCUGUUGCAUCAAUUAAACUCAUGGGGGUAACGAGUAACUAUGUAUGUUUUUUUUAAAAGAUUGCAAAAUAUUGCACUUAUAUAAAAACAAUAAUAACUUUUUUUACAUAUACUAAAGUACCAUCCAUUUACGUUGUGGUGCUUAUUUUACAGAUGUUAAGGGCUCUGAAACUUCAUUGUGUAAUUCAUAUACGCCUGUUUUUUAGACUUAGUUUUUAUAUUAUUAUUUUUGCAGACUCUUAAUCUUAUGUCGUAAGUAGAUAAGUUAGUUCUUACGUGUUGAAAUUAGUUUGGCAUGUUUUCAUAUUUGCGCAUUUCCAUUUUCAACAUUCAUUGUGACGGGGAACCAAAAAAAUCAUAAACCUUUCUCUUUUUCACUUGUUCGUAAAAAUCUUUUAGAUGGCUGCAAUGCAACAUUGUUUUCUGUUAAUUUCGCAAUUUAUUUCAAAGGUUGCAAAAAUAUAGUUUUUUCAAAUUACAUGGCUUUCCACAAUCACGGCUCAAAUUUAAAACACGCUUCAAUGUAUUAACGUGACUUAUUUUGGUAAGUAUCUUCAAUUUUCUACAGAUUCAGUUAUUUUUUAUUUUAAAACGCACAACAACUCUUCAAAGUCCACAAUUUAGAUCUUCUCCAUGACAACACCAGCUGAACUUUUCAAAAACCAUUUGCUUUUCAAACCUACCAAUAUGCUAAAUCAACCCUAUAAAAGUAAUACACACAAACACAAAACCUCUUACCCCUUUAACAACCAUCAAUAACAAUGGCAGUCACCAAAAGCCUCUCAAUAUUUCUCUUCGUCGCCGUGAUCUGCGCCGCCGCAGCCCAGGCCGCGCAGUUCAACGUCACAAACAACUGCAACUUCACGGUGUGGGCCGCCGCCGUGCCCGGCGGAGGAGCAAGGCUGAACCCUAACGAGACAUGGAGCAUCGAGGUGGCGAACGGCACCACGGGAGGGCGCAUUUGGGGCCGAACAAACUGCACCUUUGACGACGCGGGACGAGGUGAGUGCUUAACCGGCGACUGCGGCGGUGUUCUCGUGUGCAACAAUACUCACGGUACACCCCCAAACACGCUGGUGGAAUUCGGGGUGAACCAGUACAGCAACCUCGACUUCUACGACAUCUCCCUGGUGGACGGUUUCAACCUUCCAAUUCAGUUGAACCCGACAUUUAACUGCAGCAGCGUAAAAUGCGCCGCCAACAUCAUCGGAGAGUGCCCCACCGAACUGCAGGUUCCGGGCGGUUGUAACAACCCAUGCACGGUUUUCAAUACGACAGAGUACUGUUGUACCUCCGGUGCUUCGGGGUGCGGUCCCACCGAUUAUUCCAAGUUCUUCAAGGAGAGGUGCCCAGAUGCGUACAGUUACCCUAUGGAUGAUGCCACCAGCACAUUCACUUGCAUGGGAGGAUCUGAUUAUAGGGUUGUGUUUUGCCCUUAAUUCAUUUGUGUUUAUUUUUGUAAUUGCUUUUUUUUUUUUUAAUUUCAUUAUUCGUAUUGUUAUUGGAUACUUUGAUAUAUGUAUUAUGACAGAAAAUAAGAUGUUAUUGGAGGCGAGGAUCUCUCUCUCAUGGGAUGUGGUGCUCUUUGUCCCAAAAUAAGUUACAAAGAUUUACAUAAAAGUUCACAUGAAAGGAAACAAGUAGUUCUUGUUCUUGGAACCCUAGAGAGUUUAUUUAUUAUGGCAAGAGGGCAUUUCCAAAGGAAAAUCAAUGUUGUUUCCUUCUUAUAUUUUAUGAUGAAUUUCUUAAAAUUGAAAAAAAAAGGUUCUUCUAAUGUAUUUAAUUUUAAAAAAUAUAUUUACGGAAUAUAGAUUAAAAUAUUAUUUUUAUUGACUAGGGAUUUAUAUAAAGAAUUUCAAUUGAAAACAUUAUGAACAUGUUGUAAUGGAAUGCCCCUAUCUCUACGACUUAUGAGUUUCAUUCAUAUGAACAAAAUAGUUUUCCACUGCCAUCCAUUAUUUAUGUUAGACAUGCAUAUUUCCCAAUUUUGACAAAGGUAAUUAAAAAACUAAGAAUUGAACAGCGAUGUUGAAAUGAAAUUGAAGUUUUUAUACAUUUUCUUUCCUGGUAAAAAAAAGUUGUUAAAAUCAGUUUUGAACAAAAAAUGUUUGAUAAAAUUACUUGUUUAAGUGAUUAAUAAAUCUAAAAUGAUAAAAAAGAACAUCUUUAAUUAUAUAAUUGAAUAAAUUACAUUUGCCUCUACUUUAAACUUAGUUAAAUUAAUGACAUAAAAUCUUAUUUAGAUAAUACACUUUAUGUAUUGACUCAAUAAUAUGUAAGUUGAUUAGCUUUUAUUAUAAUUUUCUCACAUAAGUUUUAUCAAUCAUGACUCUAGUAGUUAAUAAAAUGUAAUUUAAAAAUAAGACCCUUAAAUAUCUAAUAUUUCCAGAGUGAAGGCUAAUUAAUAUAAUUCUAUCUAGUCUCCAAUACAUAACCAUAGCUACUUAAAAAAUGUAUUAGUUACUUGUUAUUUAAGAGAUUUUGAUUAUAAGGGAAAAGGUUUAACGAUUGAAACUAAUUUAUAAAUGCAACCAAUUAAUUUGGACUAUUGUCCAUAUGCACUUGCAUUCUUCAUCCUCAUAUUUUAAAGUUGCACUCCCAUAAAAUUUUAAAUUUCAAUUUUACUAUUUUAAAAUAAAUUAUUAGGUGUGAAUCUUCAAUGUGUUUGUGUUGAAGUAUUUGGAUACUUGGUGACUGAUUCUGAAAAGUACGAUAACAAAAAUAUGUAUUUUAAAUUGUAUAUUUUGAAAUAUAUGUUUUGUAUUCUAAAAUAAAACAAUUUAACUUUCUACCAUUAUGAAAUUUACCAUUCAAAAGAGGAUCUAAAUGCACAUGACAAACUACUUCAAAAACAAAAAUGAAAUACUUACCGAAAUUGCAUCACCAAGCACCGUGCAACACAACUAGCCACCAUAAAAAAGCCACUAAACACCAACAACCACAGUCACUGAGCACUACCAACUUCACAAUAACACAAGCACAUCGAAUGUCCAUAAUUCAGAAGGGUAAUUGGUACUUCAAAAUUUAGGGGGUGUAGCUUGAAAAUAUGGGGGUGGAGAAUGGAAGGGCCUUGCCCAUCUUUAAAGUGUAGGCCUUUAUUGAAGUUUUUAUAGGAAACUGUUUUUUAGUAUUUUGAAGUAUAAGAAUACCUUUGAAGGAUAAGAGACAAGAACAUUUUCGUUAAUCUUCUACUUGACUUAGACAUAAAGGUAGCAAUUAUAUCCGAAAAGAACGUUACCUGGGAAAAAUCAAAAUAUCAAAUUAAAUUAAAAUAAUCAGGUUAAAGAAAAACAAAGGAAUGCAAAAAAAGUAUUUCAAAAGACUGAAUUUGUUGAAAAAACUAAAGAAGCAAACUGAAAUAUAAAACUUUUUCCAACAGAACCAAUCUUUCAUUUUUGUGUAAAGCACUCUUUAUUUCCUCGGUGAUUAAUUUAGAGUACUAACUUAAAAUUUUAAAAAACUUAUUAGAUUGAAAUAAUCAAUAAUUAUUUAUAACAUAAUAAAAUAUAAUGGGAUGUAUCUGCGACCUAAGAUAAUAGCGAAAUGUGCAGAGUUGAGUGACAAAUAAAACAGUAUUUGAAUAUAAAGUUGAAAAGUGAUAUUUUGAAGCAAUAUUUAACAUUUGAAAAAUUAAUAUUUUUAUUUUUAACUUAAAAUACUUAUUUAUAUAUAUAUAUAUAUAUAUAUAUAUUAUUAAAACAAGUUGUAAAGUGUUUAUUUUUAAAGUAUGGUUUUCUUUUUUCACAAAGUUGAAGUUGUUAAAACAUCUGAAAAUUGGGUGGCACGUGUAGGCGUGUCUAUUUUUUUGAAGUAUUUGAUUGAACUGGAGUGUAACUGUUGUGUUUGACCCGAAUACAUAAUACAUAGAUAUGAUGACUAAUAUUUUUAAGUACAAUUUAAAUUAAAAUAAAGUUUGGCAGAGAGAUAAGGAAGAAGAAGAAAUGAAUAGCCGCCUCAAAGCUUUGCGACUAAUUUUCCACGCACACUGUUCAUUUAAAAGCGAUAGCUCCACACCAAACACCAUGUGGGUAUAUUAUGAGAUUAUUGAAACGGUCUUAAUGUUCUUCUCUCAAAUUAAUGAAAAAUAUAUAUUUAUCUUUUAUAAGGGAAACUACGUUAAUUAUAAAGAUUUGAAAUGGAUUGUAUAAAUGAAAUUAUAAUCAAUUUAGAAAUAUAGUUAAAAAAAAUUAGAUAUAAGGAGAAGUAGAAGAGUAAUAUUCUAUUUAUAAGAGAAAUAUGAUGACUUAAUAAAGAACAGCAUAUAACAUACUAUUAGAACUGAGAGAUAAGGGGAAUAACAACUGGUAACAUUCUAAGACAUAAGAGUAAUUCUAAUUUAUAUUUUAUAUUAUAUUCAGUAUAUUUUAUAUUUUAUGCUCUUAAAUGUCAAAGUAUUUUUUUAUAGGUGGAGUUUUCUCCUUUCUUAAUUCAUGAAAUUUGUAGGAAUACAAUCUGAUAACCAUCGAAUUGAGAGAGAUUUCUCUUGAUCUUGAUUAGAAUAUAUAUAUAUAUAUAUAUAAUAAUAAUAAUAAUAAUAAUAAUAAUAAUAAUAAAAGUAUAAAAUUAAAUAAUAUGAAAAAAUAUUAUUAAGAAUUAUAAUAUGAUCGUAUAAAAAUUUGAUUUCUCAACGUAUCAUUACCAUUCAUAUAAAUUGUUAAAAUCUCUCUACACUCAACCAUGUAAGGCUAUAUAAACACCAAACACCAGUUUUGGAAUCCACACUGAACACGAUAAACAUGGCUCACUCACUCUCCCUAACGCCACUUUGCGCCCUCCUCAUGCUCGCCUCAUUAUCUCUCGCCACCGCUGCAAACUUCGAGAUCGUCAACAACUGCCCCUACACGGUGUGGGCGGCUGCCAGCCCCGGCGGCGGGCGGCGCCUGGACCGCGGGCAGACGUGGAACCUGUGGGUGAACGCGGGCACUGCCAUGGCCCGCAUAUGGGGUCGCACCGGGUGCAACUUCGACGGCAGUGGGCGAGGGCGGUGCCAGACAGGUGACUGCACCGGCGGCCUGAACUGCCAGGGCUGGGGCGUUCCUCCGAACACCCUGGCGGAGUUCGCCCUGAACCAAUUCGGCAACUUGGACUUCUACGACAUCUCCCUGGUGGACGGUUUCAACAUCCCUAUGGACUUCUACCCCGUGAACGGAGGGUGUCACAAAAUCAGUUGCACCGCCGACAUUAAUGGGCAGUGCCCUGGGCCAUUAAGGGCCCAAGGGGGAUGCAACAACCCCUGCACCGUGUAUAAGACGAACGAGUAUUGCUGCACCAAUGGGCAAGGAACUUGUGGACCCACUACGUACUCUAGGUUCUUCAAAGAUAGGUGCCGUGAUGCUUACAGUUACCCUCAGGAUGACCCUACCAGCACCUUCACUUGCCCUGCUGGUUCUAACUACAAGGUUCUCUUCUGUCCUCUCGGAGAUCCUCUUCACAUGCUUCCUAAUACCACCACCAAUCAAUAUUAAAAU
rnacentral:lncRNA from 1 species